rnacentral:sRNA from 1 species
UCGCGUCUACCGUUGAGCGGCCCUCUC